rnacentral:rRNA from 1 species
CCUACGGGAGGCAGCAGUGGGGAAUAUUGGACAAUGGGCGCAAGCCUGAUCCAGCCAUACCGCGUGAGUGAUGAAGGCCUUAGGGUUGUAAAGCUCUUUCACCGGAGAAGAUAAUGACGGUAUCCGGAGAAGAAGCCCCGGCUAACUUCGUGCCAGCAGCCGCGGUAAU